CGGAGGGGGCUAGCGUUGUUCGGAAUUACUGGGCGUAAAGCGCUCGUAGGCGGAUUGGUCAGUCAGAGGUGAAAGCCCAGGGCUCAACCUUGGAAUUGCCUUUGAUACUGCCAGUCUUGAGUUCGGGAGAGGUGAGCGGAAUUCCGAGUGUAGAGGUGAAAUUCGUAGAUAUUCGGAGGAACACCAGAGGCGAAGGCGGCUCACUGGACCGAUACUGACGCUGAGGAGCGAAAGCGUGGGGAGCAAACAGGAUUAGAUACCCUGGUAGUCCACGCCGUAAACGAU
rnacentral:rRNA from 13 species